AAUACCCGCUGAACUUAAGCAUAUCAAAAAGCCCAAAGCUC
rnacentral:rRNA from 1 species